GACGAGCGCUGGCGGCGUGCCUAAUACAUGCAAGUCGAGCGGACUUGACAGAGCUUGCUCUGUUCAAGUUAGCGGCGGACGGGUGAGUAACACGUGGGCAACCUGCCCUGCAGAUUGGGAUAACUCCGGGAAACCGGGGCUAAUACCGAAUAACAUUGAAAACCUCAUGGUUUUCUUUUAAAAGGCGGCUUCGGCUGUCACUGCAGGAUGGGCCCGCGGCGCAUUAGCUAGUUGGUGAGGUAACGGCUCACCAAGGCAACGAUGCGUAGCCGACCUGAGAGGGUGAUCGGCCACACUGGGACUGAGACACGGCCCAGACUCCUACGGGAGGCAGCAGUAGGGAAUCUUCCGCAAUGGACGAAAGUCUGACGGAGCAACGCCGCGUGAGUGAAGAAGGUUUUCGGAUCGUAAAACUCUGUUGUUAGGGAAGAACAAGUAUCGGAGUAACUGCCGGUACCUUGACGGUACCUGACCAGAAAGCCACGGCUAACUACGUGCCAGCCGCCGCCGUAAAAC
rnacentral:rRNA from 1 species